UGGGGAAUUUUGGACAAUGGGCGAAAGCCUGAUCCAGCAAUGCCGCGUGUGUGAAGAAGGCCUUCGGGUUGUAAAGCACUUUUGUCCGGAAAGAAAUCCUUGGCUCUAAUACAGUCGGGGGAUGACGGUACCGGAAGAAUAAGCACCGGCUAACUACGUGCCAGCAGCCGCGGUAAUACGUAGGGUGCAAGCGUUAAUCGGAAUUACUGGGCGUAAAGCGUGCGCAGGCGGUUUGCUAAGACCGAUGUGAAAUCCCCGGGCUCAACCUGGGAACUGCAUUGGUGACUGGCAGGCUAGAGUAUGGCAGAGGGGGGUAGAAUUCCACGUGUAGCAGUGAAAUGCGUAGAGAUGUGGAGGAAUACCGAUGGCGAAGGCAGCCCCCUGGGCCAAUACUGACGCUCAUGCACGAAAGCGUGGGGAGCAAACAGGAUUAGAUACCCUGGUAGUCCACGCCCUAAACGAUGUCAACUAGUUGUUGGGGACUUCAUUUCCUUAGUAACGUAGCUAACGCGUGAAGUUGACCGCCUGGGGAGUACGGUCGCAAGAUUAAAACUCAAAUGAAUUGACGGGGUCUAUCUGUUUCCU
rnacentral:rRNA from 1 species